AAGAAAUUAGUUUAUUAAAAAUAUUAAAUUGUAAAUUUAAAGAAUUUUUCUUAU
rnacentral:tRNA from 1 species